rnacentral:rRNA from 1 species
AACGAACGCUGGCGGCAGGCCUAACACAUGCAAGUCGAACGCCCUAGCAAUAGGGAGUGGCAGACGGGUGAGUAACACGUGGGAACCUUCCCUAUAGUACGGAAUAUACCAGGGAAACUUGGAGCAAUACCGUAUACGCCCGAGAGGGGAAAGAUUUAUCGCUAUAGGAUGGGCCCGCGUAGGAUUAGCUAGUUGGUGAGGUAAUGGCUCACCAAGGCGACGAUCCUUAGCUGGUGAGAGAACGACCAGCCACACUGGGACUGAGACACGGCCCAGACUCCUACGGGAGGCAGCAGUGGGGAAUAUUGGACAAUGGGCGCAAGCCUGAUCCAGCCAUGCCGCGUGAGUGAUGAAGGCCUUAGGGUUGUAAAGCUCUUUUGCCGGGGACGAUAAUGACGGUACCCGGAGAAUAAGUCCCGGCUAACUUCGUGCCAGCAGCCGC